CUCGAGUACACGCUGGAUGUUGUGAAGCUGGAGCCUGAAGAAAGAAAGAGCUCAACUAAAACAGCGCCGAGAAUGUGCGUACGAGUUCAGCGAGUCCCCGCAUGCUUGAGGAGGUGCUGCUCCUGCGUCUGCGUCCGAGCGCUCCUGAUCACCUGCAGUCACACGGAGAGUCAACAUCUUCCAGGUUUUGCCGGCAGUAAUGGAGCUGCUCUCUGCCAGCAUCACAGCAACACUGGGGUUGAAUAGCGCUACGUGAGGAACAACUUGACCCUGAUACAGGAGUGUCCAAGUGAUGCUGUCUUUUUCCAGACGGUGGAGUUUCAGGUCUAGGGGACACCACAGAGCAGGGAAAGUGGCUUAAGGUGUUUAAAGAAACAUUGACUGUUCUGUUGGACUUGACUUAAAAUAGAUUUUCAUUUAUUUGAUACAAAAGAAGACAGAAACAUCUUAAUUUACUUGUGUAACUUCCUGAUCAUUUCCUUAAAAAGAUCAAGAGUCCGAGAAGCAAAGAGUACCAAUAGGUCACUGUAUCCAUUAGAGCUGCAAAUAUUCUCAUUGUUUAAUCUGUCAAUUAUUUUUCUCAAUUAAUCAAUUAGUAAAAUAAAUGUCAAAAGGUUUUUUUUUUAAGUUCAGUGUUUCCCCAAUUCCAAAAUGAUGUCCUCAAAUGUCUUGUUUUGUCCAUAACUUGAAUUUAUUCAGUUUUUUGUCACAGAGGAGAAAAGAACCAGAACAUGGACCAAAAAAAAAGAUUUGAUCUUUUGUUGAUCAAAGUAUCAGUCGAGAAAAUUAUCUAAAGAUUCAUCAGUAACAAACAUAAUCAUUAGUCGUUCCCCUAGUAUCUAUUUUCCCUAU